rnacentral:rRNA from 1 species
UGGGGAAUAUUGCACAAUGGGCGCAAGCCUGAUGCAGCCAUGCCGCGUGUAUGAAGAAGGCCUUCGGGUUGUAAAGUACUUCCAGCGAGGAGGAAGGCGUUGUGGUUAAUAACCGCAACGAUUGACGUUACUCGCAGAAGAAGCACCGGCUAACUCCGUGCCAGCAGCCGCGGUAAUACGGAGGGUGCAAGCGUUAAUCGGAAUUACUGGGCGUAAAGCGCACGCAGGCGGUCUGUCAAGUCGGAUGUGAAAUCCCCGGGCUCAACCUGGGAACUGCAUCCGAAACUGGCAGGCUAGAGUCUUGUAGAGGGGGGUAGAAUUCCAGGUGUAGCGGUGAAAUGCGUAGAGAUCUGGAGGAAUACCGGUGGCGAAGGCGGCCCCCUGGACAAAGACUGACGCUCAGGUGCGAAAGCGUGGGGAGCAAACA